rnacentral:rRNA from 1 species
CGUAGGGGGCAAGCGUUAUCCGGAUUUACUGGGUGUAAAGGGAGCGCAGACGGAACUGCAAGUCUGAUGUGAAAGCCCGGGGCUCAACCGCGGGACUGCAUCGGAUACUGUGGAUCUGGAGUGCCGGAGGGGCAAGCGGAAUUCCUGGUGUAUCGGUGAAAUGCGUAGAUAUCAGGAGGAACACCGGCGGCGAAGGCGGCUUGCUGGACGGCAACUGACGUUGAGGCUCGAAAGCGUGGGGAGCAAACAGGAUUAGAUA